UACGUAGGCAGCAAGCGUUGUUCGGAUUUACUGGGCGUAAAGGGUGCGUAGGCGGUUGUUUAAGUUUGGUGUGAAAUCUCCCGGCUCAACCGGGAGGGUGCGCCGAAUACUGAACGGCUAGAGUGCGGGAGAGGAGAGUGGAAUUCCUGGUGUAGCGGUGAAAUGCGUAGAUAUCAGGAGGAACACCGGUGGUGUAGACGGCUCUCUGGACCGUAACUGACGCUGAGGCACGAAAGCGUGGGUAGCAAACAGG
rnacentral:rRNA from 1 species